UGGGGAAUUUUGCACAAUGGGGGAAACCCUGAUGCAGCGACGCCGCGUGAUUUAGAAGGCCUUCGGGUUGUAAAAAUCUUUUCUAUGGGAAGAAAAUGACAGUACCAUAGGAAUAAGGACCGGCCAAUUACGUGCCAGCAGCCGUGGUAAUACGUAAGGUCCGAGCGUUGUCCGGAAUCAUUGGGCGUAAAGGGUACGUAGGCGGGUAAGCAAGUUAGAUGUGAAAUCCUAUAGCUCAACUAUAGUAAGCUUUUAAAACUGCUCAUCUUGAGGUAUGGAAGGGAACGUGGAAUUCCUAGUGUAGCGGUGAAAUGCGCAGAUAUUAGGAGGAAUACCGGUGGCGAAGGCGACUUUCUGGCCAUAACCUGACGCUGAGGUACGAAAGCGCGGGUAGCAAACAGG
rnacentral:rRNA from 1 species